CACUAUUUAUUUCUCCUCCACUGGUUUCGCCAUGGAAGUUGUCGCUGAAGAAGAAGAACCAGUACCGCUCGCUCUGUCCUCACUUGAACCUCUCUCCCUUCCAUGGCCGCGCUUCAAGAUUCAAAUCACAAACCCUUGAUUCCGUUAACAAUGAAGCUUCAAGGAGUGAUCCUCGAAACACAAAGGAAUGCAAAAAUUCAGCUGCUUUAGGAACUCCAAAGGAGAGGAAGAACCAAUGAGGAAGAUCAUAGACCAGUUGGAUCUCCAUGACUAGUUCGAAUCCUGUUUAGUUCAAGCUAUUGAAGCCAUCGUGAGCAUAGCCUAACCUAACCGUUGUCGGUCAAUUGGCAUCUCUAUAAAUGAUAAUUCAAGGGUAUUUCUGUGAUUUCAAAUAUUUCGGCGGCCCAUCAAUUUUGACCCAGUCUCCCUAGUCUUGCAGCGCUCAAAAGCAUUUCUUUUCUUCCUUAAUAACCCCACACGCCCCCCAACCCAUUCAAAUCCGAAUCCAAAUUUCGCGAAACAUUUCUUUUGUCGACGUUCCCUUCGCAUCUCGGAGAAAUGGAUGCCGUAGAUUCUGUUGUUGAUCCUCUCAGAGAGUUCGCCAAGGACAGCGUUCGUCUCGUUAAGAGGUGUCAUAAACCCGAUCGCAAGGAAUUCACCAAGGUUGCCGUUCGUACCGCUAUCGGCUUCGUUGUGAUGGGAUUUGUAGGGUUCUUUGUCAAGCUAAUCUUCAUUCCGAUCAACAAUAUCAUCGUCGGAUCUGGUUAGAUUAGGUCAUGAUGAAGUUCGUAAAUGAUGGGGGCUGGUGUUUACAGUUAGUGCGGCCUGUGUUCACUGAGGAAUACUUGACAUUUAGCUAUCCUUAGAACUUUUAAAUCGUAAAUUGAUUAAACCCCAGGAUAUAUGGAAAAUUUUCUUAUCAUAUUAAUGAACUCACUCUCUUUUUAUAUUUGAAUGAUAUAACAUGUUAUUAUGGUUAAAUAUUCGUUCCGAAA